rnacentral:tRNA from 1 species
GUGGCGUGUGCCGAACGGCUUAGGCGUCUGCUUGUGGAGCAGAUUUUAGCGGGUUCAACUCCCGUACGCCACCCCA